rnacentral:rRNA from 1 species
UUGCACUGAUUUCAACAUUGGAACGAGUGGCGAACUGGUGAGUAACACGUGGAAAACCUGCCCAGAAGCAGGGGAUAACACUUGGAAACAGGUGCUAAUACCGUAUAACAACAAAAACCGCAUGGUUUUUGUUUGAAAGGUGGCUUCGGCUAUCACUUCUGGAUGGUUCCGCGGCGCAUUAGCUAGUUGGUGAGGUAAAGGCCCACCAAGGCAAUGAUGCGUAGCCGACCUGAGAGGGUAAUCGGCCACAUUGGGACUGAGACACGGCCCAGACUCC